UAUUUCUUCUGGACUUAAUUACGGGAGGAAUUAUUCUGCUCGGUGGAAUAAGUUACAAUUCCCCUCGCAUAGGAUUAAAUUCAACGCCCUUUUGUUUUAAACAGCACAAAACAUGUCUUCGACUGAAACUUGGUCAAAUGUCACCAAGGUUACAAGGAACUCGCGUGACAUUGACAGUCAAUGACUUGCAGCGAAGACCUCCAUGAUGUUUCCCUUCUUAAAAGGACUUCCGCGAGCUCACCUGACGCGACACUUGCUGGGGUGCCAGCAGUCCCUCUCAUUGACAGCUCCUCGCCGGUUUCGAUACGGAGCCACUCGCGGCGGCAUACCCGUUUUGCCUUCACACGGCACCACCGGGACGGUCUUGGCCAAAACUGCUCCCCCACUUCAAGUUCCAUCAUGUGUGACUCAGUUUCGUACCUCGACCCGUGCGAAGGCCUUACCUGCUCCUCUCAUCUGGAUAGUGCUCAAGCCUGUUCAAAAGCUCACGGCCAUCAUACUGGGCAGGAGUCUAAGGAAGUGGUGGGUGGCGCUGCCUGACAAUCGGCGUCAGCUCUUCCGCCAGUGGGCAUGGCAGCGGCGCUGGCGGCUGGUGGUGGCAGCAGGCGUGGGCGCCAUUAUCUCGAUCCUCCUCCUCCUCACGCAUUUGGAUCAAUCGCCGGUGACUGGCCGCACGCGCCUUUUGGUGUUCAGCAGGCAGAACUACAUGGAGCUGGCGGCUUUCACUUCAAAGGCGUACAUGGAGGAGUUUGGCGAUCGGCUGCUCCCCGAGAGCGACGCUCGUCACCGUGUGGUUGAGCAGGUGGUACAGCACCUGGCCCGGCGUAACCAGGACCUCCCCGAAAUGGCCGACGUGGACUGGAGUGUCCAUGUGGUGCAGAGUGACGACAGCAAUGCCUUUGUGCUCCCGAAUGGCAAAGUGUUCAUUUUCACCGGCAUGCUGGAAGCUGUGGCAGAUGUCCACCAGCUCACCAUCGUGCUUGGACACGAAAUGGCUCAUGCUCUACUGGGACACGCCGCAGAGCAGGCGAGCCUGUCUCACGUGGUGGACCUCCUGUCCGUGGUCCUGCUGGCCGCCAUCUGGGCCGUGUGUCCCCGCGACAGCCUGGCGCUGCUGGGUCAGUGGGCCCAGGACAAGCUCACGCAGCUGAUGUUCAACCGUCCAUACAGCAGGAAGCUGGAGGCGGAGGCGGAUCAAGUUGGCUUGCAGUUGGCGGCGAAGGCUUGUGCGGACGUGCGCGCAGGCCCGGUUUUCUGGCAGCAGAUGGAGAUAAGGGAGCAGCUGAGUGGAGAGCCCAGCCUACCUGAGUGGCUGUCCACGCAUCCGUCACACAAGAACCGCGUGACGCAACUGGACCGCCUCGUGCCUCAAGCAUUGGAGUUGAGGGAGCGCUGCGUGUGUCCCGCCCUGCCGCCCGCCGAUCCCCGCGCCAUCUUCUCCGAGAGUGUGCGCGUGCUGCUGGAGGACGCCAAGGCGCGGCCGCGACCGGCCGCAGGCGGCACGCCUCAACACGGGCCCGUCGGGGUGGCGGCUCCCGCGGCUCUGCUCGCCCGAUCGCCGACAACUUUUCCAUCCGGCUUGAGUCACGGGGACAAUAAAGCUUUGGACGGAGCCGGAGCGCCACCGUGACACCACCUCCAGAACGAACAAGGACGUGGCCCGAAGACUGAAGCGCCAUCAUUGAACCCUUUCAGGCACCCUGUCACCUGAUCACAUGAUCAGCUAUCCACUGCAGUGACCCAGCUGUCCCUGAAAGGGUUAAACAGCGAUUGUCAAUCAUGGACCGUCUCACAUAAAGACUGAAACUGAAGGGGUUCAUGUCUCUACAGGAUCUCAAGGAAGGUCCUCAAGGAGAAAUCUCCUUCAACAUGUUUUUUUUUUUUUAACACGUUACUGACAUUCGAUACCGGAAGGGUGAGUUGGUUUUGCAUUUUGUUUUUAUCGUGCAGUGGUUUUGCACGUGUUGAGCCAUUCAAAUGUGACUUCACGGUGAAAUUAAUGUAAAAUUAUAACAAGAAUUGUCGGCGACAGAAGUCACGCACACGCACGCCGGUUGCCGGGCGGAUUUCGAGGCCAGAAAAGGAGAAGACAACGGAAGCAUCUCAAUUGACAAAGAAGCUGUGAAAACAAAGAGCCUUCGUCUUACAGUGAGCUGCCGUCAUUUACAUUUG